rnacentral:ncRNA from 1 species
UGACCUCGGAUCAGGUAGGGAUACCCGCUGAACUUAAGCAUAUCAAUAAGCGGAGGAAAAGAAACCAACCGGGAUUGCCUCAGUAACGGCGAGUGAAGCGGCAAGAGCUCAAAUUUGAAAGCUGGCUCCUUCGGAGUCCGCAUUGUAAUUUGCAGAGGAUGCUUUGGGUGCGGCCCCCGUCUAAGUGCCCUGGAACGGGCCGUCAGAGAGGGUGAGAAUCCCGUCUUGGGCGGGGUGUCCGUGCCCGUGUAAAGCUCCUUCGACGAGUCGAGUUGUUUGGGAAUGCAGCUCUAAAUGGGUGGUAAAUUUCAUCUAAAGCUAAAUACUGGCCGGAGACCGAUAGCGCACAAGUAGAGUGAUCGAAAGAUGAAAAGCACUUUGAAAAGAGAGUUAAACAGCACGUGAAAUUGUUGAAAGGGAAGCGCUUGCAACCAGACUCGCCCGCGGGGUUCAGCCGGCAUUCGUGCCGGUGUACUUCCCCGUGGGCGGGCCAGCGUCGGUUUGGGCGGCCGGUCAAAGGCCCCUGGAAUGUAGUGCCCUCCGGGGCACCUUAUAGCCAGGGGUGCAAUGCGGCCAGCCUAGACCGAGGAACGCGCUUCGGCUCGGACGCUGGCAUAAUGGUUGUAAACGACCCGUCUUGAAACACGGACCAAGGAGUCUAACAUCUACGCGAGUGUUCGGGUGUCAAACCCGUGCGCGCAGUGAAAGCGAACGGAGGUGGGAGCCCCCUCGUGGGGCGCACCAUCGACCGAUCCUGAUGUCUUCGGAUGGAUUUGAGUAAGAGCGUAAAUGU